rnacentral:tRNA from 1 species
GCCGGGGUAGCUCAGGGGCAGAGCAGGGCUUUUGUAAAGCCAAGGUCGGGGGUUCGAAUCCUCUCCUCGGCU